UGCUUGAAUACAUGCUGUCCAUUCAGCUGAGUAUCAGGGAUGUGAUAAUAACAGAUGAAAGCAAAAAAAGGUUACCAUAACUGAAAUAGGUGUAGCAACACAUGAAUGUCUUCCCUCUGAGAAAUGCACUGUACCAUUUUAUCAUCUGGUGCAAUAAGAUGCCAUCAUACAGUGAGAUCAUCCUUCUGAUCCUGUCCAGAACCUGCUUUAGAGUGAUGCCGUUAACACAAGACCCUCUGGCUCCUGUAAACUGAAAUGAAAUAAUCAACCGAAUUUUC
rnacentral:lncRNA from 1 species